CAUCCUCCACAGAAGCUGUGUCUCUGUGGCACCUGCCUCCUGCCCUACAGGACUUGAAUUAAGCCUCUUGCUUUGCUGCCCCAGGCAAGAGCUGAAUUUCUUCAACCUAGCUUAAAUCAAAGUAGAUUCUGCCUGUGGGAGAUUUUAUAGUUUUUCGUGUGGUUCAGUACACCCCUUCCAACAUCCCUACUGUGCCGCUCCCAAGCCUGUUGGUUUAGGACUUCGAGAAUUAUGCUCUUGACUAUGCCACUAAGUUAAAUAAGAAACAGAAAGCAGGGGAUGAAGACACAAGCUUGCUUUCUGGACCGAUCAUGUUUCUGCCAUGAAGGAACUCUGUUCCUCAAUGCAACACAAUCACAAGAAAACUUAAACAAAUUUGAAUGCCUGUUGUUAAAACCUGUGUUUUGAUCACUACCUAGGAUCCCUGCACCUGGAUUUAAGAAAUAUAGUUUCAUUUACUAUUUCGUGAGUCAUUUCAUUGUGUAAAACAAGUAGUAAGAACCCAAGAAAGAGUACAUUUGUCAAAUCUUCAUUCAAUGUUUUUAAGUCAAGGUGGUUUAAUUAAUUGUUUUGAUUUUUUCCACUAGUGUUUUUUCUGGCUCCAAAAGCAUAGUUAAGACUGUACUUGUUUUUGUUUGUUUGUUUGUUUGUUGUUGUUGUUUUAGUUUCUCGAGACAGGGUUUCUCUGUGUAAUGGCCCUGGCUGGCCUGGAACUCACAGAGAUCCACGUGCCUCUCUGCCUGGGAUUAAAGGCCUGAGCCAUCACCACCACUGCCCGGUAAGACUGUACUUGUGAAAGAGAGUAAUAAUACGCACCUAGGGUUGGCCACUUUGGUUACUGUAGUAGGAGCUGACAGAGCCAGUUUGUCACAGAUUUUUGACAUCGUAGAACACAGUUCUAAUCCAAAUCAGUCUUCUUCCUUUCCAUUUGUCUCUUCCAGUUUGGGCAGUGUGUCUCUUCCAGUUUGGGCAGUGUGUGAUGGUUGGGGAGAAGCUAUUCUGGCCUCCAGACUGGCUUCUUGGACCCCAAUCUCCUCUUCUCCCUCCAUGACUUCGACAACCAUGGAUGCCACACUUCCUAAAAACCCGUAAAUCAACCACCACACAUCUCUCACACACCUUGCAGCCAGGGAAACCAUGGGGAAGAAGUGAACCAGCCAGUGAGCAGCCAUGAUGACAUGGAAGGUCAAGACCGCCAGAGCAAUACAGUUGGACUGCUGGCUCCACACAGGAGGCGCAAGAGGAACAGGAAGGCUCAGCCUUCAUCAUUGGGUUCACGAUGCACAUCAGAACUCCGGACAGAAGACCACACCUCUUUCUUGAAAGCCACGGAGUAUGGAAGCCAGCUCUAUCUCUCUCUCCAAGAGGUCUGCAGUGUCUGAAAAGUGUUGACUUCUGUGGAACUAGGAGUUGAAGCUGAUGUUAUCUCACUGUGAUUCUGCUUGCACUCUCCUGUGGGUGGAGAGAAGGCUGUGGAAAGUGACAGCUGUGUGGUCUGGUGUUCGGUCUACAUGGACCUAUGUGAACUAAGGCUCAAGUCCUUGUUGUUUAUUGGUGUCUUGGCUUUCAGAGGAUGCUGGCAGCUCCUCUUGCCCCCAUUCUUCUCCCAAACUCAAGGACCGAUUUCAGGAAGAUGCAGGAACAUGGGCGAUUUCACCCACUUAGAUCCCAUGAGAGGAUUUACUGUGUGAGGUACAAAUAAGUCAGUGUGAUUUAAUGUGUGUGUUUCUUUCUGUUCUUCUUUGAAAUCUUCAGAACCAUAAAUAAAGCUGAGAUUAGGAAUGGACUGAAGUAAAAGGCAGAAAGACAAACCAUGGGUUGUUUGGCCUGCUUGUUUUCCUGAAGUAGGAAACUGCUUCAGAGAUCACCCAGGUGGUUGUAAAAGUUUACGUGUGCCUGGGGAACUGGUGAGGCAGAGAUGGGGACUAGAAGGUAGGAUCCAGAGACCCUGGCCUCCUGAUUGUGCGUCAGUCAACUUCUCCAGAUGUAGCUGGGCCGUGAUGUGGCAAUAACAAGCCCACUCUACAUAUUCGUAAGGAUAAGCUCUAUCAUUAGAACCAGACUCUGGGUGGGUGGCUACCAUUCUAGUACUUGAAGUCAACCAUCAGGGAAUUUGUGCUUUCUUAGGGUAAGUACAUCAUCAUUCCUCUACCAUUCUCCUCUUCAUACCACAUGCUAGACUCUUUCCUCUACUUAAUCCCAAGCAAGUCAGUGUCCUCACUAAUCUGUAGCUCAUAGAGUCAAGUUAUUUGGGAAGUGCGGGUUUUAAUUGGAAGAAGUGUCAUUUUUUUUUUUUUUAUAGAUACAUACUAUAGCUGCGCUGACUCUUUGCAAUCACAUAACAUUUAGGUGACACAAAAUUACCUAAAGUCUUGUCAACCUGACAAAAUCCUCAUGUCCUUUAAAGCUCUACUCAAAACUAUGACACUUCCCAUAACCAGAUUCUGUUCUUGAAAUACAUACUAGGAUGUCAUGCCGCGUUAUUCAGUGCACAACCAGAGUGUCACUGUCCCAGAGCUGACCUUGCUCUAACUCCAGAGUGAUUGGCUUUCGUGUCAGCUGAGAUCUUCCAGUAAAAGUGAAUGAUAUUCUCUUCAUGCUUCACAGUAUAAUAGUGUCAUAUCUACAAAAAAAUAUCAGAAAUCAGCAGCCAACAUGAUGGGUGUGUGAGCCAAGUCCAUUUCUUUUCUUUUCUUUUUUUUACUGGAAAUGUAUGUAUUAUUUAAUCAGCCAGAUGUUGUAGUACACACCUGUAAUUCCAGCAUUCAAGAGGUAGAAGCAGAAGGACCCGGAGUUCAAGACCAGCCUUGGCUACAGAGUGAGCUUCGGGUCAACCUGGGCUCCCUGAGAUCCUGUCUCCAAAACACAAAUAAUAGUAACAGUAACAACAAUAGUGAAAAAUCAACAGCUUGUCCAUAAAAUUAUAGAUGACUGGCUUUUUUAAAUACCAGAAUGUUUUUGACUACAAGAAAAAUAAGUUUGGACUCAAAAUGUGUCUAAAACAAGGUGUUUGAAAGGACUUACAUGGUCUCAUAUAAGAGGAAGUUUUAAGUUCCCUCGAAUUGAUUGCUUUAUGUCUGAAUAUGCUAUUGGGGUCUGACUCCUUUUUAUUUUUCUGGCUGCUUGACCUCUUAAUGUUGGCAUCACUUUCAAAUGGCACCAUAGAGAUCAUACCUAGACGGAGCCUCUGUGCAGAAAAAGAGAAAACUGUUGCUUCUGGGCCUUUCUUUCAGGAGAAAAAAAAAAAUCUAUUCCGGACGUUUGCUAGGGAAAUUUUUUUCCCUAAGAUUUCUGGGAAGGCUUCCAUAGAAACUCACAGAGGUCAAAGUGCAGAAAGUCCGUGUCUGUGCUGCACUCAGCCGUAAAUAGUACAUCUACAUCACACUCGCUCACCCCAAGGCGGGGGCCAUCACAGAAGAGGGAAAGAUCACCAGUCACGGGGGUCAGGGAGGACCUUGGGGAAAGUGUCUUGUGCACAAAUGGUCACAUACACAGGAUCAAGCCAGUCAGCAUUCCGGCAGAGAGGGGGCUGUGACGGUUAAUGACUGCUCGGGGAGGGAAAGGCAGCUUUUUUUUUUUUCCAUUUUUCUUUCUUUAUUUUUUUUUCAGAGCUGAGGACCGAACCCAGGGCCUUGUGCUUGCUAGGCAAGCCCUCUACCAUUGAGCUAAAUCCCCAACCCUUCAGAUUUUUUUUUCUUUUUUUGAGACAGGAUUUCUCUGUGCAGUUUUGCACCUUUCCUGGAACUCACUUUGUAGACCAGGCUGACCUCGAACUCACAGAGAUCCGCCUGCCUCUGCCUCCCGAGUGCUGGGAUUAAAGGUGUGCGCCACCACUGCCCAGCUUCAUUUUUCUUUAUUAAGAAAUUUUCUACUCACUCUACAUACCACCCACAAAUUCCCCCUCCUCCCUCCUCCCACCCUCCAGCCCUCCC